rnacentral:lncRNA from 1 species
CCUGGGGCUUUGGGGGUUCGGGGGCCUUUCUCUUUGGCAUCUAGGAGGUGACCAUCAACCAGAGCUCCCUGCAGCCCCUGAAUGUGGGGAUUGACCCCUAGAUUGAGAAGGUAAAGACCAAGGAAGACCCUCAACAAAUUUGCUUCCUUUGUUGACAAGGUGCGGUUCCUGGAGCAGCAGAACAAGGUUCUGGAGACCAAGUGGUGUCUCCUGCAGUAGACGGCCAAGGCUAGUGCCAAUGACCUGCAGCCCUUCUUGGAGUCCUACAUUGGCUGCCUCCAAGCCUACCUGGACAAGCUACUGAUGGAACAGAGCCUGCUGGAUGGGGAGCUGGGCACCAUGCAGGCACUCGUGGAGGAGUACAAGAGGAGGGUAUGAGGAUGAAUUUAACAAGUACUCAGAGGCUGAUAAUGACUUCAUGGUUCUGAAGAAG